rnacentral:misc_RNA from 1 species
AACGAAACAAACCCUCCCCGCGGGCUCCGGCUCGAGGGAAGGGCCAGUCUCAAACCCUUUGUCGUCCGACUAUGUUGCCUCGGGGAAGACCCUGCCUCCGGGCGGGCGGAACCCCGGUGGACCAAACCAAACUCUUGCGUAACAUGUCGUCUGAGUCGAUUUAAAAAAUAAAUCA